rnacentral:rRNA from 2 species
UUGGCUCAGGAUGAACGCUGGCGGCGUGCUUAACACAUGCAAGUCGAACGGAGUGGUCCUCCCGAAGACCUGAUUGAGCUUGCUCUUGAUGGAAUUCAUUUGGAUCACUUAGUGGCGGACGGGUGAGUAACGCGUGGGUAACCUGCCCUAUACUGGGGGAUAGCAGUUGGAAACGACUGAUAAUACCGCAUAAGCGCACAGCACCGCAUGGUGCAGUGUGAAAAACUCCGGUGGUAUAGGAUGGACCCGCGUCUGAUUAGCUAGUUGGUGAGGUAACGGCCCACCAAGGCGACGAUCAGUAGCCGGCCUGAGAGGGUGUACGGCCACAUUGGGACUGAGACACGGCCCAAACUCCUACGGGAGGCAGCAGUGGGGAAUA